UCUCAUUAUACACUUGUUAAUAUACACUUUUAAUUGCCCAACUUAAACAUAUACUCCUGACAAUUUUGAAACUGAGGUUUACAAUUUGUUUAUUGAGAAAGAUUUGCUUUCCUGCUCUUGCUGUCUCCUGUAUGUGAAUGUUGCUUGUUAGUGCAGGACCACAAUGCUGAAGUGCAAUGCUCUUCUGUCACUAACAGGGUGCCUGGGAAUGGCAUCUCCCUGCUGAGGUACUAAAACCUGACAGCCUGCUUCAGGGACUGCUCAUACAUAGGGGAAAGCAGCACCUGGCCUGCAACUGGCAGCAGCACUUGAUUUCUAGAGCCAAAGCGUGACAGGAGGAGAAGCUGCACUCAGGUGGUACUUCUGAGCAAGAAGCAGCACAAUAUGGUGACUAAGUGGGAACAAGGAAAAUGGAACAGUAGAAAUAAUGGUUACGUGUACAUCACAGUGGGACUCGUGUAGGAGGUGCAGUUCCUAGGCGACUUCUGUGGCACUCUGGAAGGAGAACGGGAAAGUAUUGUACAUCCUUCAAGUAAAUUCAGCAGUUUGACCACGACAAGAGGAAGACUAAACACUUAAGAACCUAGCAUGGGAAGAUGAUGUGUGACCAACUGAAGUAAAGGCAACAAGAAGAACUGACAAGAUUAAUGCAAAGACUUAGGUUUUGUCAUCUUCCAAUUCCAACUUCUGCGAUAUUAUUAGUUUUUACUGUUCUGGAACAACCAAAUUUCCUUAGGAGACUUCAAACAGAUUUGCAGUUUCAAGCACAGAGGAGUCAAUCAGAAGCAAUCCAGACCAAGGUUAGAACUCCUCUGCUGCUCAGAAAAGCGAGUACUGAUGGAGGACUACACUUUAAGAAAACAAAAAGAGCUAAGCCUGAUCCUGUAAACUUGCACCUACCUGGUUAAUUUAAGUAAAGGUGCAUUUUCCCCUCCUACAGCCAUGGUACAGAAGUACUGUACUUCUAGGAGAGGCACACAAACUGAGUUGUAAUGCACAUGCAUAAAUAGAAGUAAUGUCAACACACUGAUUUCAGAGUG